rnacentral:lncRNA from 1 species
CGCUCCCAAACGAGCUUUUGGCUAUAUUCUUCAUCAUGAACAAACGGCUAAUGCCAAACAGCUAAAGAAAGCUUUUCACAUGAAAAAUAAGGACCAAAACCAGCAGAAGAAAAAGCAACUUACUUCAAGGCAAAACAGACCAUGCAGGGAAAAGACAUCAAAUUAAAACUAUUGUCAUAAAUUUUUUAAAAUGUCAUCAGUAUUUUCAAAAGGAAAAUAAAUGAUGUCGCAUCCAUGAAACAAGGAGAUGUUGCCAUAUAAAGAAAUAAUUCAAAGAACCAAGAGGAACUCCUGGAAAUCAAAAACAUAUGGCAGAAAUGGAAAACUCUGCAGAAAGAAUGAGAAAACUGGAGAAGACUCACGGAACGUAAAGCAAAAAGGACAGUGACUUGACAAUAGGAGAGACAGAGGACAAGCCAUGUAAGUUCAACAUCUGAAUGGCAGAAACUCCAGAAACAGAAAACAAAGAUAAUUAAUUGAAAAGAUUCACCAAUUAAAUAAUUCAAGAAAAUUUCCCAGCAUUGAAGGACACAAUUUCCAGACGGAAAAGGCUGAUCAAGAAAUAAGACCGACACACCAAGGCCCAUCACUGUGAAAUUCUAGCACACAGGGGACAAAGAAAAGAUUCUACAAGCCUCAAGAGGGGAAAAAAGAGUCACAUACAAAGGAGCAGGAACCAACAGCUCAGGCUUCUCAGUGGCAUUAUGGGAAUCAAGAAGACAGGGCAGCAACAUCUUCAAAACUCUAAGAAAAUGAUUUUCAACUCAAAAUUCUAUACCUAGCCAAGUCAUCUGGUAAAUAUGAGAAUAGAAGGAAGACAAUUUUCAUGCAAAAUCUCAAAAAAUGUUAACUCCCAUGCAUGCUUUCUCAAGGAGCUACUGGAGAAUGGAUUCCACAAGGAACUAAACGAGAAAGAAAAAGUCAUAGGAUAGAGGACAGAGGAAAUCCGUUGCAGAAGGCAGGCAAUCAGUAUCUUUGGGUGGAUGGUGCAGGGAGAUCCCAGGAUGUUGACUGCGCCGCAAAUGGCCACCAGUCAGAACUGGAGCAGUGAAACCCAAGAGACAGACAUAUUGAGGAUGGCUUCAUCCAGGAGCUGCCUCCUGUUAUUCCUUCCUUUUUACCUGAGGACUAGAUACCCAGGUGAACCUGACCCUGAUUCUAAUCUGUACAUGACUUAUCUUGGACCAUGCAUUGAUAAAAGUUCCUCUCUCCCCCAUAAGCCUUGCCAUCUAGAUCAGCUGAGGACUCAGUUCUCCUCCCACGGAAAUGGUCUGCUUUGAUCUACUGCUCCACCGUGGUGAGCUUGGAAGCAGAUAAACACAGAGAAGCACAUUUCCCCAACCGCAUCACUUACCCGUCCAACACCUGCCUCCUGCUAUUGUCCUACCAAUGUCCUCACUGUGCUGCACCCUGUUGUCCCCAGGAUUCACUCAUGACAUUCCCUAGGAGAGGUUCUGGUAAAUUCCCAGGGAAGCCAAAGUCAGAUUAAAACCUAGGGACCACUCUCUUUGUCUUCUCCGGGGAGGCUUCAUCUAACUCUGGCAAUAUUAUAUCACAGAAUAAUUGAGGAACUCUCAUGUUCUGUGCGUUCAAAUAUUUAGUCGUAAAUAUUACAGAUACAGG